CCUACGGGAGGCUGCAGUGAGGAAUAUUGGUCAAUGGCCGGAAGGCUGAACCAGCCAUGCCGCGUGAAGGUCAGUGCCCUAUGGGCGUUAAACUUCUUUUGUGCGGGAGCAAUAAUGGUCACGUGUGGCCAGACGAGAGUACCGUACGAAUAAGCAUCGGCUAACUCCGUGACAGCAGCCGCGGCAAUACGGGGGAGGCAAGCGUUAUCCGGAUUGAGUGGGUUUAAAGGGUGCGUAGUAUGUGAGGUAAGUCAGCGGUGAAAUGCCCCCGCUCAACGGGGUGAAGUGCCAUUGAUACUGGCUGGCUGGAAUGCGGAUGCCGGGGGAGGAAUGUGUGGUGUAGCGGUGAAAUGCAUAGAUAUCACACAGAACACCGAUUGCGAAGGCAUCUCACGAAUCCGCGAUUGACGCUGAUGCACGAAAGCGUGGGUAUCAAACAGGAUUAGAUACCCGGGUAGUC
rnacentral:rRNA from 1 species